GUGACCUCAAAUCAGGUAGGACUACCCGCUGAACUUAAGCAUAUCAAUAAGCGGAGGAAAAGAAACUAACAAGGAUUCCCUAGUAACUGCGAGUGAAGCGGGAAAAGCUCAAAUUUAAAAUCUGUCAGUCUUUGGCUGUCCGAGUUGUAA
rnacentral:rRNA from 1 species